rnacentral:rRNA from 1 species
UGCCAGCCGCCGCGGUAAUACGGAGGAUCCAAGCGUUAUCCGGAUUCAUUGGGUUUAAAGGGUCCGCAGGCGGAUUAUUAAGUCAGUGGUGAAAUGCUGUCGCUUAACGAUAGCACUGCCAUUGAUACUGGUAAUCUUGAGUAUAGUUGAGGUGGGCGGAAUAAGUCAUGUAGCGGUGAAAUGCAUAGAUAUGACUUAGAACACCGAUUGCGAAGGCAGCUCACUAAGCUAUUACUGACGCUCAGGGACGAAAGCGUGGGGAGCGAACAGGAUUAGAUA